AAGACCCUGCGCUUUUGGAGCGGCCGAUGCCUGAUUAGCUAGUUGGUGGGGUAAAAGCUUACCAAGGCAACGAUCAGUAGUUGGUCUGAGAGGACGGCCAGCCACACUGGGACUGAGACACGGCCCAGACUCCUACGGGAGGCAGCAGUGGGGAAUUUUGGACAAUGGGCGCAAGCCUGAUCCAGCAAUGCCGCGUGAGUGAAGAAGGCCUUCGGGUUGUAAAGCUCUUUCAGUCGAGAAGAAAAGAUUGUGACGAAUAAUCACAAUUCAUGACGGUAUCGACAGAAGAAGCACCGGCUAACUACGUGCCAGCAGCCGCGGUAAUACGUAGGGUGCAAGCGUUAAUCGGAAUUACUGGGCGUAAAGGGUGCGCAGGCGGCUUUGUAAGUCAGAUGUGAAAUCCCCGGGCUUAACCUGGGAAUU
rnacentral:rRNA from 1 species